CCAGAGAGCACGACCAAAUAAUACCCCUAACAUCACCCUUAAUCUCUCUACAAGGGUUUCAAAUAAUACCAUCAUCCCAGGCACGAAAUCACGAAGCAAUAACACAAGAACGAUCCCCACGACAUUGAGUUGAGUUGUUUGAAGAGUUGCUUAAGAUGUAUUAAGGACUCACCAUGGUUAAGGUCCCAAUUGAUAGGUUGACAUUCCUCCUAGUAGGCUAUCAG